UGGUGGUUUUGUGAUGAGGGUAAGGGAGUGAUUGGUGUGGCUGGUGGCUGCGAAGUUGUCGUUGUUGCAGGCUGGCAGGUAAUUGGCGUGGGCUGCGGUUUGUGUUGUGGUGGCGAGUGGUGGCAAUGUGGAGGUCGCUGAGGAUUCUGGGGCUGCGGUGUUAGGUGAUUGUGGGGAUGCGGCUGUGCGUGAGCUGAUCGAUGUUUUUGUGGCUGUUAAAGUGAAUUGGUAGCUGGUGGAGCAGGGGCUGUGUGUUUGGUGGUAAAAAAUAUUAAAAAAUGAAAAUCAAUAAGAAGGUGACAUGUGUCAAGUCACCUUCUUAAGCAGGUUUUUUUAAUUUGACAACUCAGUUAAAGCCUCGUUUUGAGUAGAUGGGGGUUAAAAGUAAGAUUGUUUCCAAAUUUCGAAAAAGUGAGAUUGUUUUAAGCAGAAAAGCCAAAUGUGUAAUUAUUAAUUUUUAUUUUUUCUUUAUAAAAUACUCGUACAUAGUAUUAACUAUUUUUGUCUUCGUCUAAUUAUUUUUUUUCGAAAAAAAAACAUUUUUGCCUAAGAUAAACUUAAUUUUCUCAUAUUUCCUAAUUGCAAUUUUCCCCCUUGGAGCUCUUUUACGCUGCACCCCUCUUUCUCUCUCCUCCAUUGAAGCGGCUUCCGAGCUUUCUAUCAUCCAUUGAAGGCGUUGAAGCAUUUUCCGAGUGCAUAGAGGCACCUCACGCUGUCACGCCUGAGUUCCUGAUGGACAAAGCCUUAUCGGCCCUCACGCAGUCACGCCUGACAGACGAAGCCACGGACAGACGCCUCAGUGCGUAGAGACGCCUCACGCAGUCACGCAUGAGUUCCUGACGGACAAAGCCUCACCGGCCCUCACGCAGUCACGCCUGACGGACGAAGCCACGUACAGAUUCCUCACGCGACGCCGCGAUGAGGUUUGGGUUUGAAACUUAGGGUUUAAUUUUUGGGGAAUUGGGGAAAUGUUAUGAGUUUCUCACUUUUGUUUUUAAAUUCUAAAUCUAAUAAAUUUGAAAGUGAGGUUGUAAAGCAAAAAAAAAA